rnacentral:sRNA from 1 species
ACCUUUUAAAAGACUCCAUGUUCGUUUAUCAAAAAAAGAAAGUAAAGAAUGGUCAAAUCUUUUUAACAAUAUACUAUUAGAAGACACUGAAUGCGAUCAUACCAGCACUAAUGCACCGGAUCUCAUCAGAACUCCGCAGUUAAGCGUAUCAAGUGUCGUUAAAGACUCUAGGCGAAGCUUAGAGGUCGCCGGUUCGAGUGACGCUUGAGACGAAACUAAUAUUACAUGCUGUAGUUUCGGGCCUGGAGGGAUUACGGGAUUCGGCCCAAAACCUCCUAGUAUUCAGAAAAAAAAAACUAUUAGAAGACACUAUCUCAACAUUAAGACUCCAUGUGAUCGUAGUCGUAGGUGAGGAAGUGUUGAUGUUUACAAUAUACUAGAUCCGUACGUGCGGGAUUUUAUAUUUU